GUCAGGACUCAGUCAGCAGGGCCGUGCAGCUUGCUGCUGGCUCUGCUGCCUCCACUCUCUCCACAGGUGUUCGUGGUUAACGGGUGGGCGGAGUGCACACACCUGCAGACACUCCAGCAGCACCAGGCCGCACUAUAAGAACCGUGCUCGAACAGAGGGAGGAUGCCAGAGUGUUACCUUGUCGCGUGCACUCGUGUCUUUGGAACCCUUCUCUCGUGUGACUCUGCGCUGUGAAGACCAGGCUCCCGAAUCCACAACCGCUCAGAUUCUGCUCUGGCGAUCUCCUCCUCAAACUCCCUUGGUGGUACCAAGUUGGGCGCGAGCUUCCCCUCCCCCGGAUUCACCCUGGUUGCCUCGGACUCUCCUGGUUCCUUCCUCUGUUCAUUCCGGAUCCCUGGACCCGCCGGUGCUGCUCGGACCCCAUCCGCCUCCGCCCACAGUUCUCCCGGACGCCUGUCACCACCUCCGCAGGACGGGCUGAGUCCACACCACUACCUCCCCGGUUCGGUUCCCGUGCUCUGUGACUGACCCUGUCUCCAGACUUCGGUUCCCCGCUGCUUCCCCGAUCUGCGGCGACAGAUCUUCCUCGUGAUCCCGCGUUUCUGUUAAAUAAAACUCUUGUGAUCU